UGGGGAAUAUUGCGCAAUGGGGGAAACCCUGACGCAGCGACGCCGCGUGUGGGAUGAAGGUCUUCGGAUUGUAAACCACUGUCGCGAGGGACGAAGCUCUGACGGUACCUCGAAAGGAAGCACCGGCUAACUCUGUGCCAGCAGCCGCGGUAAUACAGAGGGUGCGAGCGUUGUCCGGAAUCACUGGGCGUAAAGGGCGCGUAGGCGGCCCGGUAAGUAGGGGGUGAAAUCUCAUGGCUCAACUGUGAGGCUGCCUUCUAGACUGCUAGGCUUGAGCACAGUAGAGGCGAGUGGAAUUCCCGGUGUAGCGGUGGAAUGCGUAGAGAUCGGGAAGAACAUCGGUGGCGAAGGCGGCUCGCUGGGCUGUUGCUGACGCUGAGGCGCGAAAGCGUGGGGAGCAAACAGGAUUAGAUACCCGCGUAGUCCCUGAGCGGGCUGGCAAGGCGCAU
rnacentral:rRNA from 1 species